AAAAAGAAAAAAGAUGAUGCAGCCAAUCAAUUGUGUCAGCUGAAAUGUUCCAUAAUAUUUGGGAAGGAAGUGGUAGAGCUCCCUCUAGUAGCAACCAAUACUAAUUAUCAAGGACAGGAUUACCUUCAGUCCUUGUUUACUUGCAUUCAGAACCAUGUGAUACCAGCUGCUGAUGAAGCUGAAUCAUUAUGGACAAAUAUUUGAUUUUAUUAGACCAAAAUGAGUGCUUGAAGUCAGUCCCCCACAUAUUGAAUUAUUGGUGCUCAGGUGUUGGGAGUACCACAAAAAUUUUGUAAAAAUGGAGAAGUGAUGCAGCCCAACUUGCAAAUAGGGCCUGAUGGAGGAUCUUGAUUCUUGAGUAAAGCGGGAAGGCUUCUGUGUUAAGGAUAAACAUGAGGUGCAUGCUAAUACCCAAAAGGACCCUCAGCUCCAGCAUGAAAAAUCAGCAAAAACAUUCACUAUAGAUUUCCAGAUCAGCUCACAACAGUAAACACAGAACAGCAGCCUCUUCUUCUUGAAUCAUGCUGCAAACUCAAGCUCCUUGAUUCACGGCCUGAAUUACUUCUGACAAGCCUCUCAUCUCAGCACACUAUCAGCUGGUCUGCGCCUCAUCACAGCCCACCUUCGGUCCUCUCAAUUUCUUCUUUUGUGUUGCCGUGUAUUACCUACAUGUCAAACUUUCCUUUGUAUUUUCUUUGUCUAUGUACUGCUUGUAAUCCUCUAAACCUCCAUGCUUAUACAUAGACGUAACUACUAUGUUAUUUGGUAAGUUAACCAAAACAGAGAUUAUCCAAAUUCUUUCA